ACACCUCCAGGGACAGCGACUCCACCACCUCCCUGUGCAGCCCAUUCUAGUGCCUGACCACAAUUUCUGAGUUUUUCCUAAUGUUCAACCUGAACCUCCCUUGGCACAACUUAAAGCCAUUCCCUCUCACUCUAUCACUGCUACCUGGAAGAAGAUGCUGAACCCCACCUUGCCACAACCUCCUUUCAGGUAGUUGUAGAGGGCAAGAAGGUCUCCCCUGAGCAUCUUCUUCUCCAGACUAAACAAUCUCAGUUCCCUCAAUUGCUCCUCAUCAGGCUUUUUCUCCAGACUCUUCACAGCUUCAUUGCCCUUCUCUGGACACGCUCCAAUGUCUUUCUUGUAGCAAUGGGCCCAAAACUGAACACAGUACUCAAGAUGUGGCCUCACCAGAGUUGAGUACAGGUACUUCCUGUCCUGCUUGCAACACUAUUUCUUACACAAGCCAUUGGUCUUCUUGGUCACCUGGGACACUGCUGGCUCAUGUUCAGCUAAGCAUCAACCAACACCUCCAGGACCUUUUCCCCUGCACAGUCUUCCAUCCACUCUGCCCCAAGCCUGUAGUAAUGAAUGAGGUUGUCACCAAAGUGCAGGACCUGGCACUUGGUCUUGCUUCAUCCCAUUGGCCUCAGUCCAGUGAUCCAGCCUGUCCAGAUCCCUCUGUAGGGUUUUCUUAUUGUCAGGUAGGUUGUCACUUCCUUCCAACAUGGUGUCAUCUGCAAAUUUACUGAGAGUGCACUCAAUUCCCUCAUCCAGAUAAUCAAUAAAGAUAUUAAAUUCAGCUAGUCCAUAGUGGCAUCAUGGACUUCAGAGAAUUUACAACACUAUGGAAAUCAGUGCAAGGUUUAAACUAGCUAAGAAGUUGGAUAGAGAUAUGAAGCAGAAUACCUAUAUAUGUUGCUUCCCCAGUUCAGUUGCAAUGGGGAACUGUGGUAGCUAAACAAAAAUUGCCUUGAAUCCGUUGCUACUAUGGAUAGGUCUGUAUUCAUGCUGUAUUAUUAGCUAUGUUAAAAUAUAUAGUCUGAAUUUUAUGAUUGCUAACACUUUCUUAAAUGUUACUGAGAUUACAGAGAUCAAAGAUUGAAAGUUUAAGUGCUAUAUCAUAAGCUGCGAAGAGUAGCAUUAACAGCAUUUUUCCUAAAAAAUGUAGGAUUCCUUCCACAGAUCCUUAAGAAAAGAUGCUCACAACAUUGAUACCUGCAUGGUGUCUGAACAUAGAAGGAAUGCUGUUGAAUUAUUCUAGCAAUUGUGUGCCCUUUUGAUUACUUUCUGGAGAAAAUAUUUUUUUAAAGUGACUUUUCCAUAAGAUUGGCAAAAAGUUGAAAUGAAUGUUGGAGUUUGGGGAAGUUAUCCACCAUCAAAUUAAAAUAAUGAUAUAAAACAAUUCACCUGAAUUUGUCUGUAGCCAAGGAAAGGUGCAGAAGCAACACUUUUAUAGAAUGCCAACAAAAGCAAAAAAAAAAGAACUGUUUUCUAAGAUUCUGUAAUAAGCCUGCUAAAAGCUGAGAAGAAACGUAUCUGUUUUGCUAAAUCAGAUGAACUUACUCACAGUAAUUUCCUACUGGGUUGCUGUAUCAGACUGAAUUUGGCAUACUGUUCUUGGAAAGAGAACUUUGUUAUUAACUAUCCAAACUCCUUCCUUUUAUCUUUCUGAUAAAAGUCUUCAGAACUCAGGUAGUGAGUUGUUUAGUAGUUGGUGACAGAUCCUCCUUUCUUAUUUCAGAGCACAAAUAUUAUUAAGAGAAAAAGAACUUCAGUCAGAUGAAAUACUAUAAUAUUCCCUGAAGAAAGUUUUUAAUCAGCAGCUUCAAAGGAGCUGCUCUCUUAAUGCGCAAAUGAAAUGUUGUAAAUUCAGCCAAUGGCUUUCAUGUUGAAUUUGCAGACUUCCUUACAGCUCAAGAGCGCAAAAGACUGAUGUCAAUGGCCUGUAGGCACUUACGCUUAUUGCCCAGAAGCCAUGGGAUUGAAAAGUUAUUUGCAAUUUAAUCAGCUGGAGGAUAAUCUAUAGGUAGUAAUGAUAAAAAUAAUUAGCUCGGUGCCAGUGAGCAGCUGACAUGAAAAUCAUACAUAGAGCUUGAUUUAUAUACUCAGCAUAGCUUUAUUCACACACAAAAUAGCAACUUCCUCUCCAAAAAAGUAUCAUUUUUUAGCCCAAGUUUUUAGGCUUGUUUGAAUUCUAUUUGCUUGGCUAAGCUAAAUGCAAUUCCUGGCAGCAGCAUUUCGGCAUGUUCAUUAAGUGCAAUACUAUAUCAUUGCUUUAAAAACAUAGUGAAUUGUAAAUAAGCAGUGAACAUGAUGACUCCACAAAAGCCAACCCAGCACUAACCAGUAGUUUAGCUGCAGGCAAUUUCAAUCGUUAAUGCUUUUACUGUGUGCUGGUUUCAGCAGUUUUGAAGGUCUUUCUCCUGAGCAGUGCUGUUCUGAUGCUGAGUUGCCAUUGCCUGCUGACUGAAGUUGAAUCAAUCUGCAAGUCAGGACAGUGCUUCCAGACAACCUCCAUAGCAACCUGAUCGUGACAGUGUGUCCUGCUGACAGGCACUUCUUUAUUUUAAAAGAAGUAUUUUAUCUAUACAAUUGAAAGAAAAUCCCUUUGGUAUAAUCAUACUUUACUCAUAUCAAGAUUGUCAUUCUAGUUCAGAAGUAAAGCCGUGCUGGUUUCAAAGUGUGGUGUUCAGCCUCUGUGUUGACAUCUGGUUAUCACAUGAAUCAGCUUGACAGAGAUGCAUCUGAAACAAGGAAUGCUGGAACUGGAAGGAUCUUUUGAAUAUGCAUAAACUAAAAAGGGAAAAACCAAACGGGAAAAAGAAAAAAGAAAAAAAGUGUGGCUAGCUUCAUGUAGAGAUGGAUUUUCUAUUCCACGGAAACUAAUUUGCCUCCAAUGCAAAUUCUCUGUUGAAAGGAUGUGCCUACACUGCAGCUGAAAAUGCUUCUGACAUAGGUUAUGUGGGUACUAAAGCAGUAUGGGCAGCAAAAUAACAGUAACAGCAAGAAUUUAAAUCACAGAGACUAUUACAAAUUCAAUCAAGGGCUCCCUGUCGAAUUCAGAAACACCUGGUUUCUUGGUGUUUAGGCUUGUAUUUUAAUAAAUGUGUUGACAACA